AGUGAACGCUGGCGGUAGGCCUAACACAUGCAAGUCGAACGGCAGCACAGUAAGAGCUUGCUCUUACGGGUGGCGAGUGGCGGACGUGUGAGGAAUACAUCGGAAUCUACUUUUUCGUGGGGGAUAACGUAGGGAAACUUACGCUAAUACCGCAUACGACCUACGGGUGAAAGCAGGGGAUCUUCGGACCUUGCGCGAUUGAAUGAGCCGAUGUCGGAUUAGCUAGUUGGCGGGGUAAAGGCCCACCAAGGCGACGAUCCGUAGCUGGUCUGAGAGGAUGAUCAGCCACACUGGAACUGAGACACGGUCCAGGCUCCUACGGGAGGCAGCAGUGGGGAAUAUUGGACAAUGGGCGCAAGCCUGAUCCAGCCAUACCGCGUGGGUGAAGAAGGCCUUCGGGUUGUAAAGCCCUUUUGUUGGGAAAGAAAAGCAGCAGGUUAAUACCCCGCUGUUCUGACGGUACCCAAAGAAUAAGCACCGGCUAACUUCGUG
rnacentral:rRNA from 1 species